AUUGGUUUCUUACAAAUGAGCAGACCAGGCAAGAGUCUGUGUUUCAGCAUCUGACACAAAAGCAAACUGAAAAUGAGAGCAGAAGAGAAAUACUGGUCUUGCUCAACUCUAUAGCAAAAUCCUGUGGACAUCCAUGGAGCAACAUUUCACCUGCAGGUUGGAGUUUCAUUUAUUUGAUGCCCAUCACCAUGGUAUCAGGGCUACUCACAGGAUUUAGUGACACAUUCAACACUCCAGUAAGAAAGAUCCACACUCUCCUGCUGCCACUUGCCUCGAACCUGAAAUCAAUCAGCCGGAAAAGGAUGUGCAAAAGAGAGACAUUUUGCAACAACUCUUUCUAAAACUGGCAAAGUUUGUGCUUUCUCAUGUUUUGCAGUAAAUUGAUUCCAGAAGUUUGGAGCCACCACUUAGAAAAUUCUUCUCUCCAGCAGCCAGACUCUGCAGACCUGGAGAUGUCAAAUUCAAUGAGCACAUGCAGUUGAGUGGGUUCUCCUCUACUUGGUUUAAGGAGUCCCAUCUGCCUUCCCUUAAAGCUGGCAGGAGGGCUUCUGUGACAUGUCAUAUGCCAGAUUCACUGAAAAUUUCGGGAAAAGAUAGGCUUCAGCAGAGAAAACAUUAAUUUCAAAAUGACAAGAAAAGUAACAAGACUCCUGACUGAACUUUGUGUUUUUAAGAGACGUCAAGAAAUAUGAAGUUUUGUUCAAGUGAAUUGACUCCUUAAGAAGCAAAUCGAGUGGGUAGCACCAUCUUCAGCAUCAUUAAAUCAGAAAGCUAUCUUCAGGUCUCUUCCAACAGUUGGUAUGCCUUUCCUAAAAGUGCACUGUCUACUCUAGGUGUCAGAAGUUCCUGUGAGAAGACAAGAGUUGGAGUUGGUGAGAAAAGGGACCAUUUCUCCCAGACAUCAGUCCUGUUCUGUUUUAAAGCUGAAAAGUAUAUUUUAAAAAAGAAGAGAGAGAAAGAGAUUAGAAAAAGAGACCUUGCCAAGGCACCUUUGAUAAUAAUAAUGUCUUCCCCAGGCAUGAUAAAAGGACUUCCUAAAUGAACCUUAUUCCAUCUCCUUAGAGAAACUGUUUGCUUUUCAUCUAUCAUUAACCCACACAGUUGUCCGCCAAGUUUUCACUGCAACAAAAUUUUGACAAAAAAUUGGGGUUAUUUUCUCCUUUCUUCUAACUGACUCUUGCAAACAAAACAGUUCAUUAACAGAAUGGUUUGCAAGCAUAGUUUCUUAGUUCUUAUGAGAAGGGAAAUGCCAAAACUUAUAAGCAUUUUGCAUAUAGAAUCAUAAGUCAGAUUUUGCCUGCUUAUUUAUAGCUUAUGGAAGUGGAGGAGAUUUCCAGUAAUGUAGCUGGGAGGAAAGUUUAGAUUCGAAGGAGUCCGGACCUGCCCUUCCUCUCCCUCACUGCUGCAGCCUUUGGGACACCCAUUGCAGAACAGGAUUUACUCUUUGCAGCUCCUGCAUUGGGGGACGUGAGUGGGAGCAGCAAGAAGUGGCUCACUUGGAAGGACAGGGUCAUGCACCUCGACAGAGCUGCAGCAGGGCCAUCAGGCGCCCACGCGCCAGCAGGGAUUUGGGGAGAACAUGGGGGAGAGCAGGAGGCAUCCGAGCAGGGAGACUGCUUGGGUGAAGGAUCAAGAAGAAGCAGAGGGUCCUCUGUGGUGAGAUGUGGAAAGGUUAGUGGCACUAACAAGACAUGAUGCUCUCAGGGAGCUUGUGGAGAGUAAAGGAGAUCCUAGUGCAGAGUUGCAAUUUAGUGUGUAAAAAGGCCUAGAGUGUGAAGCUAUCUUUAAGAAGCUUGUUUGCCGAAUAGCUCUCCAAUCAGUAUUAGCUCCACAGUCCUUAGUCUAUUUGCAGAUUAACCACCGCCCAUCAACAUUAACAAAACAGAAGAAAAAAAUGCUCACUGAUGUCUUUGUAUCACCAGAAGUCACUUGAUAUUAGUGUCUCACCAGUAACUGCUUUGUCGCUAUACAGGAAAUCCAGAAAGGAGAGUUUCAACAGCAUCCUAGCAUGAGAGUAAAUGGCUGUUGCACUGGUUAAGAUCUGCUGUUCCAGAUGGGAGGCUGGUUAAUUUAAUAGCAGGCAUCUGGAGGAAACCUAAGGAACAGAGAUGUUAAUCUUAACAUGCUAAACUUAAAAGCACAAACUGAGGUGAACACAAUCACAGUCAUUCAAAUUCCCAGGUAAUCAGUUUAGCACAGGAAUAUGAUAUAAUAUGAAAGAAUUUCUUUUAACAACAUGGAAGAUAUGUCAUUAAACAUCAAGCUGUGACUGCAGCAAUGAAAGAAAGGGGAAAAUGUUGGCCAGUAAUACUGCUUGUGGGUGGCUGGAAGGGAUUCUUGCCUGACCGGCACACACAUUACUGUAGGAAUGGAGACUAUCCAUACCCCUGCUCAUAUGUUUCCUAGCCAUAAUAUUCUUUUAAUAAAUGCAAGGGAAGAUGAUAAAGUGGAUUCACAAGCAACUGUGCUUGUUAAAAGACUCUGGCUGCUAUACAUUUACCCUUGUUCUGUGUGCAUGAAUGUGAGUUGCCAGAGAAAUAUUUGAUACCAAACGUGAGGAGGACAAGGUUCUUCUGGCCUCCUUAAAUACUUUCUUCAUCUUCUCUUGAUUCAAUUUACAGUCUCUGAAAUAGUUACUGUGCCAGCAGCCAGGUUCAGCUGAAGCGAGGAUGAACACGAGUGUUGCCUCCUUCGAGCACUCUGUUAUUCCUCCAGUUUCCAUUUCAAGUUCUCUUAAAGUUGCUUUGCAUGCAUAAUGAGAGGACAAUCAGGGUCAGAGAUGUAGUGGUAAAUUGAGCAGGGGAUUAUGAUGUACUAGGGCUGUAAGAUGCUAUGAUCCACCCAAGGAUUGCACCUCAUCUGAGCAAAGUUCAGAGGCCACAUCCACAGAUUUUUUUCCUCCCCAAAAGAAAAAGCAGAGCUCUCACAUCUCACAUCUCUGUGAGCUCUUGGACAGACAACAGCUUCCUGGGUCUCUAUAGAGUGCCUACCACCAGUGGAGCCCACGCUGGCUAGAUGCACCGGGUUUCACAUCACUGCAAACAGAAGGAAAUAUAUUUAUGUUUCUGGCUGCUCUCUCUGCUGCUGAGAUUUUGCAGGCUUGGUCUGGUAACUCCAGACUCAACAUGACAAGGCAAAACUUGCCCAUCAGCUGUCAGCAGACUAGCAGGAGCGAGAGGAUUUGAGAGACCGAGGGCCUUCUGGUUCCUCUCCUAACAUGGCCUCCAGACUGGCUUUUGCUUUUCCUUCCAAAACCAGAAUAUUUAUUUCAGGGAACAGGAAAAGGAUUGAGGCUGCAUGCUAAAAUUUAUGUAUUCGCUGAGAGGCAGAAAAUUGUUGCUGUCCUUUUGGUUAUUUAACCUGCAUGGUAAAUAUCAUUAAAUCUUACAGGGACAAUAAAAAAGCAGAUUGUUCUGUGACAUUUUUGCAAACCUGAAAUUCAGACUGCCCCAUCGUACCCACUCUGUUCCCAUCCACUAGCUGAACUGAACCCCACGACCUGCACUCCAGGUUUCCACGUGGCCCAUCUCUAGAAGGACCCUUUGCAGUAAUGGAGCAAUGUCUGCUGAGAUAGACAUGUACUCUGAGGGAGCCCACAGCAAGAGAUAACAACUUCCCACAGCAUUUUGCUCUCACAAAAGCAAAAAGGGGCUGGUCUGAAUUUGGUAAGCAAUAAAGGUUUAAAGCUAAAUAAAACCUGCAGCGCUACACUGCCUGAAAGCCAUGGGAACUGCAGCAUUGCAAGACACCUAGGAAAUAUGUGAACUGUCAAAGUCAGUGAAAGGUAAGAUAGGAGUGAACUCUGUGCAAGCAGAUGAACCAAACUUUUUAAUGCCUGACUACUAAGAUGUGAAAACUGGUUUACUUUUGGUACCUGCCCAUGCUAUUGGCUCUCUCAAAGAAAACACACAAAAUGUUACUGCCAUAAAUCUUGAUAAAUCCACAAGACAAUCUAUUCAUACACCUAACCAAAUGAAACUUAGAAAAAUAUUGCUACCAAAGCUCACACGGAAGUGAUGGGCUUUAUGCUAUUACAAAUGGAAACAUCAGGAAUGUUGGGCUUAGACAGUGAGAGAUCAGUAAGUAGAAGAGGCACAGUAGAUCAUACUGUGUGGAAUACUAUCCUUAGACUCUUUAUAUCAAUAUAGCAUCAACAUCUAUUUAUCCUUUUUGUUGCUAGUGAAAUGGCCUUUUCACUACUGCUGGAUGUCUUAAUUCAUGGCUGAUUCUUUUCUGGGUUAUUGCUUAAAGCGUUGCCUUCUGAUAGUCCAUUUUAGCUCCAAGUCCCUGAAAGAAUUUUAUUCCCCAGCUAGUUUUUAAGGUUGCUUAUUUGUUAUCUGAGUCCAGAAAUUGUAUCUUGCUUAAAAUUGAUUGAAAAAUAUUAAUUCCAUGAGAAUGUAAAUAUAUUUUCCUAUUUUUAAUUCUAAGGCACUUCUAUUUGUAACUGAACAUCACUGAUCCUCACCAAACAGAAGAUACAUAAACCACUGGAGAAUUUCUGAAGACGGGAAAAUCUGUUUUGGUACCAGUUACAGGACAGAAAGCCUAUUAUUAAGGUCAUCUAAUAAUUCCUUUUAUAAUACUCCAUUUUCAAUGGCUUAUAUCCUUGCCAAGCUAUAACCACUUAAGCUGAAAUUCUCCAUGCCAGGUUUGCAUUCAGAUUUAUGUUUAAACAUAAUUUUCAUCCACAAUGGUUCAGCCAUCCUGCAAAUACAGACACUGAAAAAAUAGGUUGUACCAGAACAUUAAAAACAACUCCAAAAACCUUUUCUUUGAGAAGCCACCUAACCAGUUCACCUAACUUUGGCACAAGAGGCUAUGUCAGCGUAUGACCCUCAGUCAAGAUGUGCCUUCUGAAUUUCCUGUGAAAAUUUCUGCAAAUUUGUACAUUGUAAAACUUUAAAUGAUUGCUGUUCACAUCUGCACAGGAGAGAGUCGGUGAUCAGAGGCAAAAAAUUAAAAAAGAUGUCUAUCGUCACUAAGCCUGCUCCAUCUCUCACAGCUCAGAGUGGUUGUGGAUGAAUAUAUCACUCCAGACCCAGUGCAGGGAUGGUGAGCAGAAACAGACUGGUCCGGGCACAGGUGGUGGGACUGAGGCAGCAGGCAGCCGUGGGGAGCGGGGGCCGCAGUGGGUGCAGAGCUACGUGCUGGGCGCCCCAAGAGCAGAGGGGUCAGGAGAGGAGAUAAAACGAAGCAAUGAAUGACAGGUUGGGGAAACCCGGAGAGAAUCGAUGGAGUUUCAGGUGGGGAGGGAACGGGUGGAUGGAGAUUCGAUGGAAUUCAAUGGCAGGAGUUGACUCUCACCGAGCCUGAAAUGAGUCCUCAAGGUCCUCCACCUCAGCGCUCCUCUGCUGCCAGCAAGUGUCUGUGAAAGCGAUUAGCAACCCGUGCUUUAUUCAGGCACUUCCCAACUUCAGAGUAAAUGAAUCCGCAAAUUUAACGCUCUUUCAGUAUAGCUAUGGUGUGCAACACAUGUCGACAUAGCGCACUGGUAUAUACACAUAUGAUGUACAGACAGACAGACAGACAUUUUAUAUCUGAAAUACUACAAAAGCAGAAACAGCGGGCAUAGCUAUCUAGACGAUUUACUUAAUGUGCCUCUGAUAAGGUGGAAAUCCUGGUAUGGCCAGAACCAAAAGAAAAGGUAAGGACAAAUAAAAGGGCAUUAUUUCCUUUCCAUACAAAGACAAAACAUUUUUGAACAGCAUGAUGGCACAAGCAUAGAUGUCCUCUUUGGAGUACGGCUAAUCAACCUCACCAUGAUAUAGAUCUCAGAAGCAGGGCAUUUAUAGCCCAUCAGCUCCAAGAACUGUUGAAUACAAAAAUCCCUGGCUCUGUAGCUCAAGCUUCCGUAUUUCCAAAGCCAGAGGGAUUCAUGGGAUUAAUAUUAAAAUUACAGCAUUACUAAAAUAAAGGCAAUGGAUCAGUAAGCCCAGACAAUCAUAGAAAGAAAAGUAAGGCAAUACCUUUAAAAAGCAAACACAUGGCUGAACCCAACAAGCCCAGAGAAAAUAACAGCUACUUUCUUAACUUAAAAGAUAUGCUCUUACCGGGCUAACUUGCAAGGGACAAUUUAAAAGGACACAGUUUUAGAUUUUGCUCAAAAAUAGGCUUACAUAGAAUCAAGAUCAACAGAAGAACUUUAAAAGUCCAUUUUAAACUUCAGUUGUAAACCAUACUUAGUUUGAAUUUAAAAGAAUUCCUUAGCAUUUCUGGAACCCCAACAGAAGAACACAGAGUCAGUGAAUAAUGAAUUGGAAGUGAAAUGGCCUGUCAAGUACCUAUAACAAAGCUUAUAAUACAGAACAACAACAUGUUUGCUGUAAAGGUGCGAAUAAAGAUACUCCUAAAAGAAAA